rnacentral:rRNA from 1 species
GUCCACGCUGUAAACGAUGAACACUAGGUAUUGGAGGAUUUGACCCCUUCAGUGCCGUAGCUAACGCGUUAAGUGUUCCGCCUGGGAAGUACGGUCGCAAGACUAAAACUCAAAGGAAUUGACGGGGGCCCGCACAAGCGGUGGAUUAUGUGGUUUAAUUCGAAGCAACGCGCAGAACCUUACCUAGGCUUGAAAUCCUACGAAUCCCUUUUAAACGAGGGAGUGCCCUUCGGGGAAUGUAGUGACAGGCGCUGCAUGGCUGUCGU